AUCCUUUGGUUGGAUGUGUUCAGAAUUUUUCUUGCACUGAAUAUUUUUCAAUUACUAUGCAGUAAAACAGUUCUGAGGUAUGUUUAUAUUUGAUAAUGAUGCUUAAGUGAGAAUUCUAGGCACACCUCCUUGGACAGGCCUACUGUUCUGAGUAAACAAUAUUCUUAAGUUCAAGAACAGUUUUAACUAUUUUAAUUGAUGCACUUCAUGAUCUAUAUCCAGUAUUGAAUGGUAGACAGCUGUAUGAUUCAACAAGGCACUGAAACAGCUGCCUUUAUGCAGUGAUUCAGAAUGUUCAAGCCAUAUCCUGUAUUCUUAGUAGCGUAGCAUUAUUUUCUCCAAACUGGGUGAAUAAAUGAACAAAAUGGCAAAUGCAGUUCCUUGUAAGUUAAAGGAAUAUACUUUGGGGCAAAAAUAACUAAAUAGGAACUUCACGUAUGCUGGUGGACUUCUGACUAAUCAGGAAAGGGCUCUCCAUUUCCGAUUGCCCCAUCUCAAAAGGCUGU